GUAUUUUGACCGUGCAAAGGUAGCGCAAUCACUUGUCUUUUAAAUGAAGACCUGUAUGAAUGGUGGAACGAGGGCUUAACUGUCUCCCCCUUCUAGUCAAUGAAAUUGAUCUACCCGUGCAGAAGCGGGUAUAACAAUACAAGACGAGAAGACCCUUUGGAGCUUAAGAUAAGAAACCAACUAUGUCAAAAGUCCUAAAAAAGACUAAACCAAAUAGUACUGGUCCUAAUCUUCGGUUGGGGCGACCACGGGAGAAAACAAAGCUCCCAUGCGGAUUGGGGUAAUUCCCCAAAGCUAAGAGAGACAUCUCUAAGACGCAGAACAUCUGACCAUAAAGAUCCGGCUACAUGCCGACCAACGGACCAAGUUACCCUAGGGAUAACAGCGCAAUCCCCUUCCAGAGUCCAUAUCGACAAGGGGGUUUACGACCUCGAUGUUGGAUCAGGACAUCCU
rnacentral:rRNA from 1 species